UGGCGCACGCCGCGCACAAACUUCGCGCACGCACACUGGUGAUUGCUUUAUUCUGUGUGGCUUUCAUGUCUUCUCUGCCCGGCGCGAUGCGUUAUCACCGCGGCCUCACUGCUCAUGUAGCGCUUUCCGUCUUUUUGGGCGCAGGUGGUGCGCAGGCGCGGGACGGCAGCGACGGUGUCAUGGAGAACUUCUCCAUCUUUCUCUUCCUGUUCAUCGGCGGCAUCGCCCUGGGGGCGGUCAUCAUGCUGCCCAUCGCGUGUCUCCGCUGGCAAGGGCUGCCGCUCGAGUUGCAGCCACGCGAGCGCUGCAUGUGGGAGACGGCGCCGUCGAGCAAGAUGAGCGCCGCCAACCUUGUCUUGAUGAGCAAGAUCAAGACGGACACGCUGGACUCGAAGAAGAAUGCGCUGAGGGCUGGCGUGCUGUAGGCGGCGGCCACCUUGAACACGUCGCCAGCCGCGUUUGCUAGCCCCUCGUUAUGCGCGCCAGCAGGGAAGUCGAUGGACGACAGGUCGCAGCAGGCGCAUCACCUCGGCUCUGAACUACUACAACUCCGCCUGCUCGGUCAGGUGUGUCAUCCCAGAUGGCGCCGCCGCCGCCGAAGACGACGACUCCUAUACUUCCUCACGGCGCAAGAUGUAAAAUGCGUGAGCGAGUGCCGGAUACCGCUCUCCUGCUCUCGACCCCUCUCUUCGCAUGCGAUGCGUGUGGCCACGUUGUCCAUUCGUCAUCCUGCGCACCUCUGCCGCUCUUCCCCCUCCCCUCCCUCGCCCUGAUGUCUGCAUUUUGCUCUCCGUGGGCGUCUCUUCUCAUUCUGUGGGCGUUCGCACAUUUUUGGAGCUGCGCCCACGACCCCCUCCACCACCACCACCCCUUGCUUGGCUUCGUUCUUCGACGAGGGUGGUACAUGUGCAUCACGCAGGCACCCACACGCACACGCACUCUCUCUGUGUGUGCAGGCGUGCGCUUGUGUAUGCGCUCAGCGGUCUCUUUCCUGAAAAAGACGAAACAUUUGGUUCAUCAUUCUCCACUCGGUUGGGCGUCGAGGAUCGGGGGAGUGGCCGCCGGCAACCCCCUCCCCCCACCCCCCAACCCGUGCUUCCGAAUCGCCGCGGGGUGGUGAGGCGAGAAGUCAGAGGUCGCUCGCACGCUGCUGGGCCUUGUACGGACUGGGCAAGUGGCCGCUGUCGAUGAAAACGCGUCAUGCCGUCUCCUGGGGGCCCAGGUACAGGGCCGCGAUGUGUACGCUCUCAUGAUCCGAAAACUCACCCCCUCCUUGCCUGCAUGGCCUCUGGCGUCUAUCCUGUCCUCUGCUCGCACAG
rnacentral:misc_RNA from 1 species